rnacentral:lncRNA from 1 species
AUGAGGUCAGUGCGGCCCAGCCCAGAGCAGGUGGCUGACCUUCGGGGGGCGUCGGGGGCACGGGGCUGCGACUCCAUCUCCUCCGUCAGCAGCAGCCCAGCCCAGGAUGCAGCAUGGACCUCCCACCCCGGCCUGACCCACCACCCAGGCCCAGAGGGGGUGGAUUCCCUCCCAGUGCCCACCAGGAGCUGCUGCCCCUCCCGUCCCCAGCCCAGCGCCCACAGCCUCCCCCUGAGGGAGCUGGCUCUCCUUCUCUUCCAGCUCCAUGUCACAGGUGCACCCACUGAGGCCUGGGGGCUCCUGAGCCACUGCCCGGCGGUGCCCACUCAGAGCAGCCUGGCCUCCUUGCAGCCACGUGGCGAGUCCCACGGCUGUGCCAACAUGGGUUUCCAGCGCCUGCAAACAGCACUGCCGCCCCUUCCAGGCAGCCCUCCACAGGGCAGGUGCCCACCCCGCCCGCCUCGCGGACACGGGUGACAACCAGCAUCCACAUCUCCGAUGCCAGGCCAUGCCCUUUCACCUCCCUGUCUAGCUCGAAAUGCCGUGCCCCACGCUGGGCAAGUCACCUGCCCGGAGAGGCAGGGGGGCCCCGGCCAGCC